AACGAACGCUGGCGGCAGGCCUAACACAUGCCAGUCGAGCGCGCCCUUCGGGGUGAGCGGCGGACGGGUGAGUAACGCGUGGGAACGUGCCCUUUUCUACGGAAUAGCCUCGGGAAACUGAGAGUAAUACCGUAUACGCCCUUUGGGGGAAAGAUUUAUCGGAAAAGGAUCGGCCCGCGUUGGAUUAGGUAGUUGGUGGGGUAAUGGCCUACCAAGCCGACGAUCCAUAGCUGGUUUGAGAGGAUGAUCAGCCACACUGGGACUGAGACACGGCCCAGACUCCUACGGGAGGCAGCAGUGGGGAAUCUUAGACAAUGGGGGCAACCCUGAUCUAGCCAUGUCGCGUGAGUGAUGAAGGCCUUAGGGUUGUAAAGCUCUUUCAGCUGGGAAGAUAAUGACGGUACCAGCAGAAGAAGCCCCGGCUAACUCCGU
rnacentral:rRNA from 1 species